GUAUGUAUACAUGUACAGUCCUCAUAUCCUUUACUUUUUAAUUCCUUGUGUACUUGGUUUAACUGUUUCGCUAUCAACCAAUGUGUUAAAAGUUAAUACCGCCAAAAGAGUGUUAUGAAAAGGGAUUGUUGUAAAUAUAUAUAAUAAUAAUAGAGGAAGACUUGAAAUUUAGGAAUAGCAUCAUAAGAAAUAUAUGAAAUGAUUAAGAUCUUUUACUCAUGGUAGUUCUAAACUGGCUUAAUUUAUACUGUGAUAACAAAGGUGCUUUUUGUAUUGCAGCUAACCCCGUAUGGACAGAACAUAUUGAGAUUGAUUGUCAAUGGUAUUCUGGGUAUGAAUCGUAGUUGGAUGAAAGCUAGUAGAUUAAGUGCCGAGUUUGAACAGGGCUAAGCAAGGGCUAUAUCGAUAUCUGCUGUGAACUUACUAUUUGGGACACAGAACCUGACUGGAAGACAAGGAAUGACGAGGGAUCCGGUGAUGAGGAGUGCUGCUAAUGGAAGGCAAAAUGGUUUCACUGAGGAUGAAUUGUCAGAUUCUGCGGCAAGCUCAGAAUUUUCUACCACACAAGUAGGAAAUAGUAUCAAUGGUUCUCUUCCAAAAAGUAAGGCUUAUAUGUUAGCAGGGGAUGCUUCUAUGUGCAAAGUUAUGCAGAAAAGCAUCAACCUCGGGAGUAGAUGGGAGCUUGUCGGUAUCUAGAUUUCCCGUUGAUCAUGAAAUCAAUUUGAGGAUUUAUUUGUAGAUGGAUUCUGUUGUAAAUUCAACCAAUGAGGUGUUCAAUGAUCCCACGACAUUAACAAAGGAGGAGCUGUAUGAUUUGCGAGACCGCUGGGCAACUUGUUUUCUUGACCUAUAUAAUCCUGAGGUAGAUUAUGAUGAUGCUGAUGAGAAAGAUUAGGAGCUAGCUAGCUAGGUUUGUGUGAAGUUACAAUGGAUUAGUAUUAAUUAUGAUGAUGUUUUUAUUUGUAUUUUGGAUGUUCAAUGGUUGUAUUUUAACGACAUUAUUACUAUAUGUUGAAUGUUGAAUUUUAGUAUUAUGUUCUUGAUGCAA